AGCCUGAACGCUGGCGGCGUGGCUAAGACAUGCAAGUCGAACGGUGUAGCAAUACACAGUGGCGAACGGGUGAGUAAUGUAUCGCUAACGUACCCUUAUGUCAGGGAUAGCCGGGGGAAACUCCGGGUAAUACCUGAUGAAAUUCCUUUUUCGCAUGGAAAAGGACUCAAAGGAGCAAUCCGCAAAAGGAGCGGGCGAUAUCGUAUCAGCUAGUUGGUGAGGUAACGGCUCACCAAGGCGACGACGCGUAGCCGGGCUGAGAGGUCGGCCGGCCACAUUGGGACUGAGACACUGCCCAGACUCCUACGGGGGGCUGCAGUAACGAAUCUUCCGCAAUGCACGCAAGUGUGACGGAGCGACGCCGCGUGUGGGACGAAGUCCUUCGGGAUGUAAACCACUGUCAGGGGUAAGAAAGUUCUGAUCUACCCCAGAGGAAGGCACGGCUAACUCUGCGCCAGCAGCCGC
rnacentral:rRNA from 1 species